rnacentral:misc_RNA from 1 species
AAUAGAUUUAAAGUAGGUUAUCGAAUAAGACAACUUUUUGAUUCAGCAUACAUAAUCUGAUGGUCCUAAAUCCUAAUUUUCUGAAGCCCAAACAUCAACUGUGGAAGUUAUGACCAUUGGACUUCUUACAGAAUGAUUUCCAUUCUUUUCAACCCAAGUGAUAGAACCAUCUUGACCUCCUUUCUCGUCACCUCUAUAGCGAAUUGUCAAAGUAUAGCUUUGCUUCUCAUUUUUGUUCUUGAACACCAAUGUUUGUGGUGAUACUGAAAUUGUAGAGUUCUUGGGAGACUCUAUUUUUACUUCAUAAGUUGCCCCAUCUUUACCAACAUUUGUAAGGGUUCUCCUGAAUUUCUGUUCCAACCAG